CCUACGGGUGGCUGCAGUGGGGAAUAUUGCACAAUGGGCGAAAGCCUGAUGCAGCAACGCCGCGUGAAGGAAGAAGGUUUUCGGCUCGUAAACUUCUAUCAACAGGGACGAAAGAAAUGACGGUACCUGAAUCAGAAGCCCCGGCUAACUACGUGCCCGCAGCCGCGGUAAUACGUAGGGGGCAAGCGUUAUCCGGAAUUACUGGGUGUAAAGGGUGAGUAGGCGGCAUGGUAAGCCAGAUGUGAAAGCCUUGGGCUUAACCCGAGGAUUGCAUUUGGAACUAUCAAGCUAGAGUACAGGAGAGGCAGGCGGAAUUCCUAGUGUAGCGGUGAAAUGCGUAGAUAUUAGGAGGAACACCAGUGGCGAAGGCGGCCUGCUGGACAGUAACUGACGUUGAGGCUCGAAAGCGUGGGGAGCAAACAGGAUUAGAUACCCCUGUAGUC
rnacentral:rRNA from 1 species